rnacentral:lncRNA from 1 species
GAUGAAGACGCAGAACUCUCAGCUCUACCUGUACUCUUCCUGUCUGGACGCUGCCAUGCUUCCACCUUGAUGAUCAUGGACUGAAUCUCUUAACCUGUAAACUAGCCCCAAAUAAAUGUUCUCCCUGUAAGAGUUGCCUUGGUCAUGGUGUCUAUUCACAGCAGUAAAACCUAAGACAAUGUUUUUAAAUUAAAAUUUAAAAUUACUUUUAUUUAUUUAUUUGUCGGUGUGCAUACAUACAAUUCCAUGGCACGUGGGGUUCAGAGGACAGUUUGCAGGGUCCGCCAUAUGGGACCUGGCAAUUGAGCUAGAGGCAAGUGCCUUUUCCUGUUGAGUCGUCUUUCUAGCUCCCCUUCUUCCUCCUACUUUUUUUUAGAUGGAAUUUCAUAUAGACCAGACUGGCCUAAAACUUGAUAUGUAAAAGAGUCUCAUUUGGGGAAAAAAAUAAUAAUUUUUGCCUGCUUGUUCCUGUUAUGUUUCUAAAAUAUAUUCUCUUUUUACUAACUGUCCUCAUUUUUUUUUAUUUAAACAGGCUACCAAGCAGUUUCUUGAAGAGAUCAACAAGUGGACAGUACAGUAUAAUGUUUCUCCACUCUCCUGGAAUGUGGCUGUCAAGUUCCUCAUGGCCAGAAAGUUUGAUGUGCUCCGUGCUGUAGAGUUGUUCCACUGCUACAGAGUGAGUGGCUCAGGGCCAGCUAAGUAUUUCUAUUUUUUUCCUGCUUUACGUUGUACAUGGUGAUUUUCUACUUCUCUCUUAUUCUGUUAAAGUGGGUCAAUGUCCACCAAUCCUAUGAGAGCUGAGGUUGGGCUCCUGGAGACACUUGCUUAAUGUGCACAAAGCUUGCUUGCAGACCAGCCUGCUACCUGUGAGAACUGAGGCGAAGAAUGUUCCUUAAUGUCAUCCUGUGGCCACUCCUGGGGUUUUCCUCCUUGCUCUCUUCCCUGCCUCCUGGAUAACCUGUUUGGUAUAUUUUAUAGCUGUACUUUAAGGCCUCAUGAAGUUGUAGAAAGCUGCCAUUCUGAUGAACUUUGAGCUAAAGAGCUAUUCAAGAAAAGAUUGGUGCUAGUGUCAGCUAGGUCCCAUUCUUGGCAGUGUCUUUUUGGUAUUUGUUUUGUUUUGUUUUGUUUUGUUUUGUUUUGUUGAGACAGGUGUCUUUGUGUAGCUAGCCUCUGCCUUGUGAGUGCUGGGAUUAAAGAUGUGAGCCACCAUUGCCCAGCUACAAUUUUUUUUUUAAUUAAAAAAAAUUUUUUUUAAGAAUAUUUAUUUUAUGUGAGUAUACUUGCUGUCUUCACACCAGAAGAGGGUGUCAGAUCCCAUUACAGAUGGUUGUGAGCCACCAUGUGGUUGCUGGGAAUUGAACUCAGGACCUCUAGAAGAACGGUCAUUGCUCUUAACCACAGAGCCACCUCUCCAGCCCUUGUUUUGUUUUUUUGAGACAGGGUUCUCCAUGUAGCCUUGACUGACUGUCCCAGAACUUGCUCUGUAGACCACGCUGCCUCUGCCUCACAAGUGCUAAAAUUAAGGGCAUAAUCUACCAUAGCUGGCUAAGAUUUUUUUUUUAAGGAAGUUUAAGACUGAUUCUGUGUUAUGUCUGCUUUCUGGGAUUGUAGCAUCUUUGAUUGAAAUGCUGUAUGUUAUGUUACUUUGUGGUUAGAAAUUUCUUCUGAAGAGAUACCAUCUAUCCUUAAAAAGAAAAAGAAAUCCUAGGAAAACAAACAAGCACUGGGAUUAGCUCACACUUAUCGUACGGCUCAUCCAGUACUCACUUAUUUAUUCCAUAGAUAUUAAUGGAAUACAUACUAUGUUAACCAUGCCGCAGUUGUUACUUAGGAGAGAGAGU